rnacentral:tRNA from 1 species
GCCAGCGUGGCUCAGUGGUUGAGCAUUGACCUAUGAACCAGAAGGUCAGGGUUUGAUUUCCUGUGAGGGCA